CUUUUCAUGGAGACAGUGAGUUUCCAAGCCAGAGAAUUCUAUCACCUUGAAUAAUAGGCCCAGCCGCCUACACAGACCUGCAGUUGGCAGGCUUCUCCAGUAUAGCUCAGUCCCCGCACCUGCUCUGGGAGCCCACAGUCUGGCCUGGGAUGCCUGACAGUGGCCAGACAUCCGAGUGAGGGAAAGAAGUGCUGCCGUUUCCUCCGUUUGGAGGCCGAAGCCUGGAAAUGCAGCCAGGACUCUGCUUUCCGGAGGUCAUCCCACAACCUGCUACGGGCACACAACUGUGAUUCUGUUUUAUCAACCAGACCUAACCUCAUCACUCUGCACUUCGGGGAGCUGAAGUGCUGCCCUUGGGGAAGUCUGAGGGGGCGUCUGGCUUUCCUGCAGCCUGCUGGCCAUCUGAAGAUGUAUCCCUUGCUGAUCACCUAGCCUGAGCAGCUGACAAAUCCUUCUGAGCAACGCUGGAGAAGACAGAGUUCCCUGGAGGACCUUGGGCCAUCGGGGGUCACGGUUCCCCAACCUGUAAGGUGGCUGGAGCGCCCUUUCGGAUGGACACUCCUUGGAGUCUCUGGGGAAGCAGGCUCCCAGCACCAGCCGGCUUCGGAGGGAGGUGAGGGGAAGGGGAGCGGUUUGGAGACAGUUAACGGGAUGGAUGGUUCCCAGGGCCAGCCACCACGGGGUCGGCAAG
ensembl:lncRNA